GAUUGUAAGAACAAGGCCACAUCCACCAAAGACAGCCAAAUUAUGAGAAACUCUGAGGCUCUUAUCCUGCAACCACGCGCGGAGAUUGCUCUGCAUGACAUCUUGAAUAGUAAAUAAGCGUCCACGAACUGCUUCUUGCUCUUCAAUCAUUUCCCUCGUACUCUUUCUUAUUCCUUCAAGGAGAAUUCUAGUUGUAUUUCCUCUCAAAUGCUGCUGAAGUUCAAAAAUAAUCUCUUCCCUAGCAUGAAGAGACCAUUUCACUCUGAUAACCUGUCUUGAUAAUCUUCUGAUUUCCUGGUUGAGAAUUAUUACUAAGAGACUCAGAUCUUCCUUGAUCCUCCUGUUAACAAACUUCAAUUCCACUUCAUCUGCUGCACCAAAUAUCAAUUUCCGAAACAAUCUGUCAUCCCAUCUAGCAAGG
rnacentral:misc_RNA from 1 species